rnacentral:rRNA from 1 species
AUAGAACGCUGGCGGCAGGCCUAACACAUGCAAGUCGAACGAGUGGCGGACGGGUGAGUAAUGGCUGGGAAACUGACUGCGGGAGGGGGAUAAAUACUGGAAACGGUAGCUCAUACCGCAUAACAUCGGCUGUGCGCAGAUUGGAUUAGCUAGUAGGUGGUGUAAAGGGUCACCUAGGCGACGCUCCCUAGCUGGUCUGAGAGGAUGACCAGCCACACUGGAACUGAUACACGGGCCCAACGCCUACGGGAGGCAGCAGUGGUGAAUAUUGCACAAUGGGCGCAAGCCUGAUGCAGCCAUGCCGCGUGUAUGAAGAAGGCCUUCGGGUUGUAAAGUACUUUCAUCGGUGAUGCGUCACCCGCAGAAGAAGCACCGUCUAACUCCGUGCCAGCCGCCGCGGUAAUAC